CCUUUAUCAAAUCUUUCAUUGAAGAAACCAGAAGCUGUCCAUGAGAAGUGAGAAGCUACAGACUCCAUCUUUGCUAAAUCUAGGUUGCACAGGACCAGAAGUUAUAUAAAACAGCUGGACUGAAAUACAACAUUCUGUUCAGAAGACUGAAUGGCCUGAAGCACAAUUCCAGUGUAUUCUGAUGGAGAUGUCACUUCUCAGGCACGGUGAUUUAUUGCAUCAGAAGCCCCCCAGAGAAGCCUGGCAGGGAGAGGAGUUUUCCAUGGGGCACUUCCAGGAGCAGCAGCAGUGCCGGUCCCGUGCCCACUGGGUGGCACUGCAAGCAGGCCCAUGGCACCUCCCUGUCACAGGCAAUCCAGGUACUGGACAGUUCACUCACUUGUUUCUCUGAAUUUAUCUCUACAAAGUCUUGUAUCAAGCCCCAGCUUCCUUGUACAGGUACACAGCUGUGGCUCUGAAACACAGACAAACCUUCAGUAAAUGCCUGAGACAGAACACCAGGGCUUGAGUUCCUGAGGGAAAGACCUGACCACCAGGCAUGGUCAUCUGUUCUUGCCUCCUGUCACUCCAAGUCAUCCCACACACAUCACCACAGACUCACUUCUUCCAGAAACCAAGUGGGCCCAUUUAAACCUGAAUAUUCACACUAGUGGGGACAUAGCAUUUUUCAUAAGACAGAAUUUAGGAUCCUAAGAGUCUUCAAACUCAUCUGUUUAGUGAUAAUACACUGGGCAAACACUGAAGGCAUCUUAAGAAAAAAAUCAAUUUUGGUAUCAAAACAAAGUAUUAAAUGAAAAAAAACCCCUCAUUUUG